GACGAACGCUGGCGGCGUGCUUAACACAUGCAAGUCGAACGGAAAGGCCCUGCUUGCGUGUGGUGCUCGAGUGGCGAACGGGUGAGUAACACGUGAGUAACCUGCCCUUGACUUUGGGAUAACUUCAGGAAACUGGGGCUAAUACCGGAUAGGAGCUCCUGCUGCAUGGUGGGGGUUGGAAAGUUUCGGCGGUUGGGGAUGGACUCGCGGCUUAUCAGCUUGUUGGUGGGGUAGUGGCUUACCAAGGCUUUGACGGGUAGCCGGCCUGAGAGGGUGACCGGCCACCUUGGGACUGAGAUACGGCCCAGACUCCUACGGGAGGCAGCAGUGGGGAAUAUUGCACAAUGGGCGGAAGCCUGAUGCAGCAACGCCGCGUGCGGGAUGACGGCCUUCGGGUUGUAAACCGCUUUCGCCUGUGACGAAGCGUGAGUGACGGUAAUGGGUAAAGAAGCACCGGCUAACUACGUG
rnacentral:rRNA from 1 species